rnacentral:rRNA from 1 species
AGAGUUUGAUCCUGGCUCAGGAUGAACGCUAGCGACAGGCCUAACACAUGCAAGUCGAGGGGCAUCGGGGCUAGGAGCAAUCCUUGCCGCCGGCGACCGGCGCGCGGGUGAGUAACGCGUAUGCGACCUGCCCGUUGCAGGGGGAUAAUCGGGAGAAAUCCCGUCUAAUACCGCGUAAUGCCGCGGGGCUGCAUGGCCCUGCGGCCAAAGGGAGCGAUUCCGGCAACGGAUGGGCAUGCGUGACAUUAGCUAGUUGGCGGGGCAACGGCCCACCAAGGCGACGAUGUCUAGGGGUUCUGAGAGGAAGGUCCCCCACACUGGUACUGAGACACGGACCAGACUCCUACGGGAGGCAGCAGUGAGGAAUAUUGGUCAAUGGGCGCGAGCCUGAACCAGCCAAGUCGCGUGAGGGAUGACGGCCCUACGGGUUGUAAACCUCUUUUGUCGGGGAGCAAAUUCCGUUACGUGUAACGGAGUCGAGAGUACCCGAAGAAAAAGCAUCGGCUAACUCCGUGCCAGCAGCCGCGGUAAUACGGAGGAUGCGAGCGUUAUCCGGAUUUAUUGGGUUUAAAGGGUGCGUAGGCGGACUGUCAAGUCAGCGGUAAAAUACGGGGGCUCAACCUCCGCCCGCCGUUGAAACUGACGGUCUUGAGUGGGCGAGAAGUAUGCGGAAUGCGUGGUGUAGCGGUGAAAUGCAUAGAUAUCACGCAGAACUCCGAUUGCGAAGGCAGCAUACCGGCGCCCAACUGACGCUGAAGCACGAAAGCGUGGGUAUCGAACAGGAUUAGAUACCCUGGUAGUCCACGCAGUAAACGAUGAAUACUAGCUGUCCGGGGCGAAUGAGCCCUGGGUGGCACAGCGAAAGCGUUAAGUAUUCCACCUGGGGAGUACGCCGGCAACGGUGAAACUCAAAGGAAUUGACGGGGGCCCGCACAAGCGGAGGAACAUGUGGUUUAAUUCGAUGAUACGCGAGGAACCUUACCCGGGCUCAAACGACACAGGAACGUACCUGAAAGGGUUCGGCUCUACGGAGCCUGUGUCGAGGUGCUGCAUGGUUGUCGUCAGCUCGUGCCGUGAGGUGUCGGCUUAAGUGCCAUAACGAGCGCAACCCCCAUCGACAGUUGCUAACAGGUCAGGCUGAGGACUCUGUCGAGACUGCCGGCGCAAGCUGCGAGGAAGGCGGGGAUGACGUCAAAUCAGCACGGCCCUUACGUCCGGGGCGACACACGUGUUACAAUGGCAGGUACAGCGGGAAGCCACCUGGCGACAGGGAGCGGAACCCGAAAGCCUGUCUCAGUUCGGAUUGGAGUCUGCAACCCGACUCCAUGAAGCUGGAUUCGCUAGUAAUCGCGCAUCAGCCACGGCGCGGUGAAUACGUUCCCGGGCCUUGCACUCACCGCCCGUCAAG